UACGUAGGGGGCUAGCGUUGUCCGGAAUCAUUGGGCGUAAAGAGCGUGUAGGCGGCCCGGUAAGUCCGCUGUGAAAGUCGGGGGCUCAACCCUCGAAUGCCGGUGGAUACUGUCGGGCUAGAGUGCGGAAGAGGCGAGUGGAAUUCCUGGUGUAGCGGUGAAAUGCGCAGAUAUCAGGAGGAACACCAAUUGCGAAGGCAGCUCGCUGGGACGUAACUGACGCUGAGGCGCGAAAGCGUGGGGAGCGAACAGG
rnacentral:rRNA from 1 species